rnacentral:tRNA from 1 species
GCGCGGUGUACCCCGAUGGGCAAGGGGGCCCCUCGCCGCUACGGCGGUGGGGCGCUGAUGCCGGUUCGAGUCCGGCCCCGCGCG